AAAGGCGUAACGAUUUGAGCGCUGUCUCGACAACACACCCGGUGAAAUUGUAGUACUCGUGAAGAUGCGAGUUACCCGCGACAGGACGGAAAGACCCCGUAGAGCUUUACUGUAGUCUGGCAUUGAGUUUUGAUAUGACAUGUACAGGAUAGGUGGGAGGCUGAGAGCCAUGCACGCCAGUGUGUGAGGAGCCGCUGUUGGGAUACCACUCUUGUGAUAUUGGAAUUCUAACGCGUUACCGUGAUCCGGUAAGCGGACAGUG
rnacentral:rRNA from 1 species